rnacentral:misc_RNA from 1 species
GUUUGGUAGAUUUGACAGGGAAAUAGACAUUGGUGUUCCGGAUGAAGUGGGGCGUCUUGAGGUGCUUCGUAUCCAUACAAAGAACAUGAAGCUUGCUGAAGAAGUUGAUUUAGAAAGAAUUUGCAAAGACACUCAUGGUUAUGUUGGAGCCGAUUUAGCAGCUUUGUGUACCGAGGCUGCACUUCAAUGCAUCAGAGAGAAGAUGGACGUGAUAGAUUUGGAGGAUGAGACCAUUGAUGCAGAGAUUCUUAACUCAAUGGCUGUGACAAAUGAGCACUUCCAAACUGCU